rnacentral:rRNA from 1 species
UGCGCAGGCGGAAUAUUAAGUCAGUGGUGAAAUCUUACGGCUCAACCGUAAAACUGCCAUUGAUACUGAUAUUCUUGAGUAUAGUUGUAGUGGGCGGAAUAUAUCAUGUAGCGGUGAAAUGCUUAGAUAUGAUAUAGAACACCGAUCGCGAAGGCAGCUCACUAAACUAUAACUGACGCUCAGGCACGAAAGCGUGGGGAGCAAACAGGAUUAGAUACCCUGGUAGUC